GCCUGGAUCGCUUAGUUGGUAAAGCAUCAGCUUUUAAUCUGAGGGUUCAAGUCCCUGUUUAGGUG
rnacentral:tRNA from 1 species